rnacentral:rRNA from 1 species
GUGCCAGCCGCCGCGGUAAUACGUAGGUGGCGAGCGUUAUCCGGAUUUACUGGGCGUAAAGCGCAAGCAGGCGGUCUGUUAAGUUCGACGUGAAAUCUCCUGGCUUAACUGGGAGGGGUCGUUGGAGACUGGCAGACUUGAGGCGAUGAGAGGGGCAUAGAAUUCCCGGUGUAGUGGUGGAAUGCGUAGAUAUCGGGAGGAAUACCAGAGGCGAAAGCGGUGCCCUGGCAUCGGCCUGACGCUCAUGUGCGAAAGCGUGGGGAGCGAACGGGAUUAGAUACCCCGGUAGUCC